CCUGUCACCAUGCUGCCACCAUCGGCAUAUGGCACGUCCCAUUUGAUGCUGAUGGCGUUGGCGGACACGGAUACCACAUCUGGACGAGUUGGAGGACUCGGAGGAACUGUGGAAAUUCAAGGUGGAUCGUUAAUGUAACCUGCAACACCUGAAGGCCUCGGUGUGUUCCCAGGUUAUUUAAGCCUGGCUGCAGUGCAGCUCUUUCACUCUGUCUGCCUUGCUGCUGUUGCAGCAACUUUUUCUCCCGUCCUGUCUCCCUACAGGCAUCCGUUUAUUUGGUUUACCUGAGAGCCAGGUCAUAACACUUAACUACCUGAGGCUCGGACGCUGCCGGCCGUCUCACAGCCCUCUCCAAUGCCGUAGGCAUUUUCAGCCAGCACUCUGAAGCAGUAGGCCUGUCCCGCCUCCAGGUUGGUG